rnacentral:rRNA from 1 species
UACGAAGGGUGCUAGCGUUGUUCGGAAUCACUGGGCGUAAAGCGCACGUAGGCGGACUCUUAAGUCGGUGGUGAAAUCCUGGAGCUCAACUCCAGAACUGCCUUCGAUACUGAGAGUCUUGAGUCCGGGAGAGGUGAGUGGAACUGCGAGUGUAGAGGUGAAAUUCGUAGAUAUUCGCAAGAACACCAGUGGCGAAGGCGGCUCACUGGCCCGGUACUGACGCUGAGGUGCGAAAGCGUGGGGAGCAAACAGG